GUUUGAUCAUGGCUCAGGAUGAACGCUGGCGGCGUGCCUAAUACAUGCAAGUCGAACGAGAACCUGGAUUCGUCUAGGGGAAAGUGGCGGACGGGUGAGUAACACGUAGAUGACCUGCCUCAGAGAGAGGGACAACCCGCCGAAAGGCGAGCUAAUACCUCAUAAGCUCACGAUGAUUAGAAAGUUGUGAGAAAAGCUCCGACGCUCUGAGAGGGGUCUGCGGGCCAUCAGCUAGUUGGCGGGGUAACAGCCCACCAAGGCAGUGACGGCUAGGGGGCCUGAGAGGGUGACCCCCCACACGGGGACUGAGACACGGCCCCGACUCCUACNGGAGGCAGCAUUAAGGGAUAUUGCACNNUGGGCGCAAGCCUGAUGCAGCAACGCCGCGUGCAUGAUGAAGGCCUUCGGGUCGUAAAAUGCUUUUCUGGCUGAGGAAC
rnacentral:rRNA from 1 species